rnacentral:lncRNA from 1 species
GCAAGUACACGUAAAUUUGAUUCAAGCAACUCAAACUUUUUUUUCCUCAAAGUUUCUUUUGGUGCACAAUAGGUCCCCUUCCUUCAUUUCCUUUUGAUUCCGUAAUCAGAAGCUUCAAGCUUCUUCUCCUCUCUGGUCUCGCUGACCACCCAACCUUGACAACCCCAUCCAUGGCUCGCGCAUAUGGAGAGGCUUCGUGGGAGCGAAUACGAAGGCGCGACUGAAGCGCAAUAGAGGUGCGGCAAGAGCUUCUGCGUUUCGCGGAGAGAGCCUCUUCGUGUUGUGACAAGGGUGUUGUUUGGGGAUUUCUUUUGGGUUCUCUGUACUUCAAGCUAACGAUUUUGGGUGGAUGAUUUUGGUUUCCUUUUCUGUAGGUUUUGAUUCACAGCGAAAUCCUCCUCCCCAUUCUGUAGGGUUUUAGUUGUUCAUAAAUUUUUGGGGGUUUCUGUGAUUUCUUCUGAUUUGAGAUAUAGGGUUCAUUGGAAUUGAAUUGGAGAUUUGCAUUUUGUUUCUGCGUAUGAGAUUUAGGGUUUCUGUGAUUUCUUCUUAUUUGAGAUAUAAGGUUCAUUUGGAAUUGAAUUGGAGAUUUGAGUUUUGUUUCUGGAA